AUUAUUGUUGGCGCCGAUUUGCUUGAUCCGCUUGCGGGCGCUCCAUAAAUCCAGCUAAAGAGGUCCAUAAAUGGUCUCA
rnacentral:ncRNA from 1 species